rnacentral:sRNA from 1 species
GCGAAACUCACGUCAAAAGUCCAGAAAGGCGGCUCACCAAAGUGCGCCGCCCGUGAUCUGUAU